AUUGGCGGAGAGCAGGAAGACCCUUUGCGCUUGUCUGAAGUGUAGAGGAUUCUGGGGACGCAGCCAUCUCGUGUCAGAGAGAUGCAGUGUGUUUAUCGCACAUGGGACUGAUCUCCAUCCCCCGCUCUCUCUCCUUGUCUCCCUGCCUGAAGAACUCCUCCAUGAUUCUCUCUGUCCAUUGUCGAUACACAGCCAGAGGCUUUGUGGGAUUGCUCAGGUGCCCACCUUAUUGGAGGCCAUCUCGCUGACUGAGCGGUGGGUCUGAAUGGUUUCCAGCUGGUCCAGACACCAGUCCAGCUCCUCCAGAGUUUCCCGAGCCAUCUGCUGUACAGUGGCUCUCAUCUCCUUCAACCCUGCCAUGUCUGCUGUCCGCUCCCUCGGUGGUCUAUCCCACCCGUCCAGCUCUAUUCUGCUGUGGUCAGAUCAGAGAGCCAAAGAUUACAGCAGAUUAUCCUGCCCACAGGAUCGCAACCCAACUCCAGGCGGCCGAACACAGAGCUGGCUUCAGCCUCUGAAAGUGCGCACAACACAGGGCUUUCAAGAAGAACCCAGAGGGACCGGCCGCAAUCACACACCUGGCAAAUGCCACAGGAAAGGGAUUUAUUUUAUGAGCUACACUAGACAGGAUAAUCAGCAUUUAUUCCGCAAAGCAACAGACCCUUCACUUUGUGAAAGGACAGCCACUGCCAGCCCCCUUAAUCUAUUAAUGCACUGUACAAAAUAAAUUCCACUGGGAUUGAGGGGUUCACGUACAAAGCUUUGAGUGUUUUCUUUCACCUGAGGAAUCUGGGUUCUGCUGCUCUGUGGGUUGCUUUACACUUUGUAUUCUUCGAAACCCACCAGAGGCAUCUGUCACUUUACAUCAGCAGAUCUCUGAACUCCUGAAAACUCACAGGAGUCUCUCGUCUCCAGGUGGAGAGUAGCCCAUUUUGUCGCCUCCCGGUUGCAAAUUUGUGAAACAGCCAACAGCACAACACACAAAAUCAGAAAACAUGCUUCAUGUAGUGGCCCUCCUUUGCUCACUGUACACGUUAAUUUGAUUUGAAACUAUGAAGUUAUUCUGCCUCUCUGCUUUAAUAUCAG